GCUGAACGAAAAUUAGGGACAUCACUAUGAGACCAAACGUUAACAUUGUCGCCUAUGGGAAAACAAUUAGUGGACUGUACCCAUAUUAUGCACUGAGUGACUGGGAUUUUUUACCGAGAGGAGCACCGACAGCAGCCAGUGUUUUACAUAUCGCCAUAUCUACACCAUUGUUCGACCUUAAUAUGGCUGAUAGGGCUCGGGAUUUUGCAUUUCUGCACCAGAUUUUAAACCGUGCGCGCGGAGUCCGACA